rnacentral:rRNA from 1 species
UACGGAGGGUGCAAGCGUUAUCCGGAUUCACUGGGUUUAAAGGGUGCGUAGGUGGGCUAGUAAGUCCGUGGUGAAAUCUCCAAGCUUAACUUGGAAACUGCCGUGGAUACUAUUAGUCUUGAAUAUUGUGGAGGUAAGCGGAAUAUGUCAUGUAGCGGUGAAAUGCUUAGAUAUGACAUAGAACACCGAUAGCGAAGGCAGCUUGCUACACAAUCAUUGACACUGAGGCACGAAAAGCGUGGGGAUCAAACAGG